UGCCAGCAGCCGCGGUAAUUCGAAGGUCCCAAGCGUUGUUCGGAAUCACUGGGCGUAAAGCGUGUGUAGGCGGUUUAUUAAGUCAGAUGUGAAAGCCCGGGGCUCAACCUCGGAACUGCAUUCGAUACUCCCGUGCUAGAGUAAUGGAGAGGUAAGUGGAAUUCCUGGUGUAGCAGUGAAAUGCGUGGAUAUCAGGAGGAACAUCAAUGGCGAAGGCAACUUACUGGACAUUUACUGACGCUCAGACACGAAGGCUAGGGUAGCGAAAGGGAUUAGAUA
rnacentral:rRNA from 1 species